rnacentral:lncRNA from 1 species
CAUAAUUCAAAAGAUAUGUAUAAUAGAUAACAAGUCAUUGAUUUAUAAAUGACCUUGAGUUUUGAAGCAAACAACAUAUUAAUGUUUUAUAGUGUAUUCUAGCACUUUAAAAGUAGUACUAUUACUUUUAUUCUUAUCUUUUAAUUUUCGUAUAAAGUUUUCAUUAAUGUCUUUUACUUUCUUAUUAAUAAAUAAUAACUAUAGCAAAUAUACUACCAC